GAUGUAUCUUCUCGUUAAGAUCGGCAAAAAAAGCUCUCCAGCACCCUCAAUCAUCUAUCUCUUCCUCUUCUCACAUCUCUCUCGUUUCUCUCCGUCAACAAAACAGACCCAUCUGCAUUCACACUUGUUCUCCACAAAGGACCAUGCUCCUGCCUCAUAACCUUCAUUCUGCAUUCCCAUUAAGGACUCUAGAGAAUUGGUGGUUCUCUUGUGACUGAAAAACAGGUCUAGCAUUUACAUAAUUUGGGAUCACUUGGAGACAAAACUGAAAUGGUUCAUUGUGUUCAAAACCCCUUUAAGGGCUGUAUCUUUUCAACCUCAUGGAUCCAGCACUCUGCCUUUUGGAAUGAAUGCUAGAGAAGAUGCAGAUGUACUUCUUCCAGAGCAUAUCUCACAUUGAGCUCAUAUAGAGAUUACACGCUUUAUAUAGAAUGGAAAACAGGCAAAAUAUGAGUGCUAGCCGAGGAAAAGAUAGUGUUUCUAUGAAGUCUGUUGAUCAAAGAGAACGCAUGAUGACCCGUCGCUUAAAAAAUCGGGAACGACAACGUAGAUACAGGGCUAGGAAGCGUCUUCAAGCAGAUAUGGAAAGAGGCUCCAUCUUGAACCAAGCAUCUCCAGUGCCAGUAGAAUUGCAGUUAAAUGAGGUUUGUUGCACCACUCGGGUCUAUUGUAAACGAAAUUGGAAGAAAGAUGCCAGGGUCCGUGCUUCUCAGGAGCAACUCAAAUCUGCUGAACCUGUCACCCCCACUGUGCCCUUGGUUAAUGAAAGUGAAGCACCCAGUUUACUCCCUGAAAUGAAGGCAAAACAACUGCUAGAAAAUGAAAUGCAGUCUGAAAAUUCUCGUAGCUUGGACAGUCGUGAAGCAAAUGGAACUGUGCAUCGGCGAAGAGAUUGGAAAGCAGAUGCAAGAAAUAAGAAGAACUAGAAUGGCAGUUUCAUGGUUCCUUUUGUGGAGUAGGAUGAACAUUUUACAGAUACCAAAUUUAGUGGCUGAUGAAACAUGAAGUGUUGGAAUGUGAAUAUCUUCAAAGAAGUUGUAAUGGCUAAAGGACUCAUAAUUGUGUGAUGGGGGGCUUCAAAUAAUAUAUCCAUCAGUUGACAAUUUGGUUAUCUGUCAUACUAAAAGACGAUGCAGAACAGCCCUGGAGAAACCUGCUUUAAGUUGGAAAAUCCCGGGUGAGUAGGAUAUGUCAUUGGUAUAGAACUAUUACAGAUGAGAAUGCUAGGGUGAUUAAAUUUUAACCCCUGUAUGUGAGAAGCAACAUACAUUUGCUGUGCGGCUUAUGUCAGGCAGCACAUGUUUGUUUCUGAAUUCUGAAUUCUGAAUAUAACAUCUGAAUUUUCUAUUGGCAAGUCCAUUUAGAUAAUUACAAGACUAUGUUAUUCAUAAAACUCUUUGAUUGGUUUUGCUUCCAUUACAAGAUCAUGGAGUUAUGUAAUUAAAGUAUUUUCUGGCCGCCGUUCAGAGUUAGAAAGGUCAAUCUUAUUUUUAAAUGAUUGAUGUAAGGUAAUCCGAAAAUGAAUGAUGUUAUUAUUGUUCGGAAUAACUUGGAUGCCUAUGAUGGAUGAUGAGAAGAACUCUCUAGUUGGCAUGGAAAGUUUAUCAGGCGGAAUAGAAAAUUACAUUAGAGAA